UUGGCUGGGGGCUAACUGCAAUGUGGAACUAAAGCAGAUCAAAAAACCUAUGACAGGCUAUCAAAAUAAAACAAAGGAAAGAAAAAAUAUUUAUAACUCAAGCAUAAUACUGUGUUACUUACAAAUUGGACAACGAAAUUUUAAAUAAAUAUUCAUGGUACAUAAUUACGGCACAAAUAUGCAGCAAUUUGGCAACCUUUUAUACCAUUUUUUUUUCCUCAUUACAGUGCAAAGGGGAAUGACACUGCUGUUUAACAAGCUGUAGCUAAAUACAUUGCAAAAUUCAGAUUUUAUACAAAACAUCUCGCUUAGACUUUAUAAAAAACCAACAUUGCUCUAUGUACACAAUCUGGGUAAGAAAAGCCAUUUCUGUCUUGUUUUUCAUGUGUAUUUUUAUUAAAAAGGUGAAUAAGGCUACUGUAACACCCCAAAUCCAUAUACAGUAAAAUCUGAACUUAUUUACAGCAUCUUCACUUGAACAUUAUGGUGCAAAUUCCAAAGUCAGGCGACUAGGGAUGAGAAUACAAGGAAGGCAUUUACAGUAACUUUCCAAAGCUGAACCAACUUCAGACAAAGGGACAGUUGGUAGAUUGUCAUAUUCUGCACCACACACAAAACAGACGCACAGACUACUGUCAACUGCCUGCAGGCAACUCUUCAUCAACUCAUCUGAUUUUUUUUCACAGUUUAGCACAUACUCAAAAUGUAGCCAACUGAUGACGCACACCUUCAAUUGCAUUAAAAUCAGACUGUUUCCCAUUUUUCCCCUACUCGCCCCUCUCCCCCAUCCUAAAGGUCAAUUUUUGAUGGCUUACAAGAAAACCUUAUAUGAAUGCACGUACAGGAGAGGCCAGGGUGAUGGAAAGAAUUACAUAUGUACUGUGGCUGGUCACCAUGGCAACCUUUCACAGAAAUAUGAUAUAGAUAUAUAUAAUAUAUACUGUCGAUAUAUAUUAUACAUAUAUGUACACAUGUAUACCACACACCCACUCACACAAACACACACGCAC
ensembl:lncRNA